rnacentral:rRNA from 1 species
CCCGCUGAACUUAAGCAUAUCAAUAAGCGGAGGAAAAGAAACCAACAGGGAUUGCCUCAGUAACGGCGAGUGAAGCGGCAACAGCUCAAAUUUGAAAUCUGGCUCUCUCAGGGCCCGAGUUGUAAUUUGUAGAAGAUGCUUUGGGUGUGGCUCCGGUCUAAGUUCCUUGGAACAGGACGUCAUAGAGGGUGAGAAUCCCGUAUGUGACUGGUCGCCUUCGCCCGUGUAAAGCUCUUUCGACGAGUCGAGUUGUUUGGGAAUGCAGCUCAAAAUGGGUGGUAAAUUUCAUCUAAAGCUAAAUAUUGGCCAGAGACCGAUAGCGCACAAGUAGAGUGAUCGAAAGAUGAAAAGCACUUUGGAAAGAGAGUUAAACAGUACGUGAAAUUGUUGAAAGGGAAGCGCUUGCAACCAGACUUGCGCGCAGUCAAUCAUCUGGUGUUCUCACCGGUGCACUUUUCUGCGUUCAGGCCAGCAUCGGUUUAGGUGGUGGGAUAAAGGCCUUGGGAAUGUAGCUUCUUUCGGGGAGUGUUAUAGCCCUCGGUGCAAUGCCGCCUACCUGGACCGAGGACCGCGCUUCGGCUAGGAUGCUGGCGUAAUGGUUGUAAGCGACCCGUCUUGAAACACGGACCAAGGAGUCUAACAUCUAUGCGAGUGUUUGG